rnacentral:rRNA from 1 species
GGUGAACGCUGGCGGUAGGCCUAACACAUGCAAGUCGAACGGCAGCACAGUAAGAGCUUGCUCUUACGGGUGGCGAGUGGCGGACGGGUGAGGAAUACAUCGGAAUCUACUUUUUCGUGGGGGGUAACGUAGGGAAACUUACGCUAAUACCGCAUACGUCCUACGGGUGAAAGCAGGGGAUCUUCGGACCUUGCGCGAGUGAAUGAGCCGAUGUCGGAUUAGCUAGUUGGCGGGGUAAAGGCCCACCAAGGCGACGAUCCGUAGCUGGUCUGAGAGGAUGAUCAGCCACACUGGAACUGAGACACGGUCCAGACUCCUACGGGAGGCAGCAGUGGGGAAUAUUGGACAAUGGGCGCAAGCCUGAUCCAGCCAUACCGCGUGGGUGAAGAAGGCCUUCGGGUUGUAAAGCCCUUUUGUUGGGAAAGAAAAGCAGCAGGUUAAUACCCCGCUGUUCUGACGGUACCCAAAGAAUAAGCACCGGCUAACUUCGUG